CUAGAUGGUACAUUUAACAAUAUGAAUUAUGAUUAAUUUUAGUACUAAAUGCUCCAGUAUUCUACUAUGCCAGAUGAAGGAAUGUCUUUUUGUGCUUUUAGAGUUUAGGGGGUACUUGCUUUCCAUUAGUUCCCCUUAAAUCUAAGUCCCCUAUUGCUAUAUCUCCCAUUGAGAGAAAUGUUUCAGAAAGUAACAGAAAUGAUCAAGUCUCUUCUUCCUUCAUACUAAAAUCCCCUCU